rnacentral:rRNA from 1 species
UUUAAUUGAAGAGUUUGAUCAUGGCUCAGAUUGAACGCUGGCGGCAGGCCUAACACAUGCAAGUCGAGCGGCAGCACAGAGG